CACAUCUUGCGGCGUGCCAAUACAUGCAAGUAGAACGCUGAAGAGAGGAGCUUGCUCUUCUUGGAUGAGUUGCGAACGGGUGAGUAACGCGUAGGUAACCUGCCUGGUAGCGGGGGAUAACUAUUGGAAACGAUAGCUAAUACCGCAUAAAAUUGAUUAUUGCAUGAUAAUUAAUUGAAAGAUGCAAUUGCAUCACUACCAGAUGGACCUGCGUUGUAUUAGCUAGUUGGUGAGGUAACGGCUCACCAAGGCGACGAUACAUAGCCGACCUGAGAGGGUGAUCGGCCACACUGGGACUGAGACACGGCCCAGACUCCUACGGGAGGCAGCAGUAGGGAAUCUUCGGCAAUGGGGGGAACCCUGACCGAGCAACGCCGCGUGAGUGAAGAAGGUUUUCGGAUCGUAAAGCUCUGUUGUAAGAGAAGAACGGGUGUGAGAGUGGAAAGUUCACACUGUGACGGUAUCUUACCAGAAAGGGACGGCUAACUACGUGCCAGCAGCCGCGGUAAUACGUAGGUCCCGAGCGUUGUCCGGAUUUAUUGGGCGUAAAGCGAGCGCAGGCGGUUAGAUAAGUCUGAAGUUAAAGGCUGUGGCUUAACCAUAGUAUGCUUUGGAAACUGUUUAACUUGAGUGCAGAAGGGGAGAGUGGAAUUCCAUGUGUAGCGGUGAAAUGCGUAGAUAUAUGGAGGAACACCGGUGGCGAAAGCGGCUCUCUGGUCUGUAACUGACGCUGAGGCUCGAAAGCGUGGGGAGCAAACAGGAUUAGAUACCCUGGUAGUCCACGCCGUAAACGAUGAGUGCUAGGUGUUAGGCCCUUUCCGGGGCUUAGUGCCGCAGCUAACGCAUUAAGCACUCCGCCUGGGGAGUACGACCGCAAGGUUGAAACUCAAAGGAAUUGACGGGGGCCCGCACAAGCGGUGGAGCAUGUGGUUUAAUUCGAAGCAACGCGAAGAACCUUACCAGGUCUUGACAUCCCUCUGACCGCUCUAGAGAUAGAGUUUUCCUUCGGGACAGAGGUGACAGGUGGUGCAUGGUUGUCGUCAGCUCGUGUCGUGAGAUGUUGGGUUAAGUCCCGCAACGAGCGCAACCCCUAUUGUUAGUUGCCAUCAUUCAGUUGGGCACUCUAGCGAGACUGCCGGUAAUAAACCGGAGGAAGGUGGGGAUGACGUCAAAUCAUCAUGCCCCUUAUGACCUGGGCUACACACGUGCUACAAUGGCUGGUACAACGAGUCGCAAGCCGGUGACGGCAAGCUAAUCUCUGAAAGCCAGUCUCAGUUCGGAUUGUAGGCUGCAACUCGCCUACAUGAAGUCGGAAUCGCUAGUAAUCGCGGAUCAGCACGCCGCGGUGAAUACGUUCCCGGGCCUUGUACACACCGCCCGUCACACCACGAGAGUUUGUAACACCCGAAGUCGGUGAGGUAACCGUAAGGAGCCAGCCGCCUAAGGUGGGAUAGAUGAUUGGGGUGAAGUCGUAACAGGUUAGCCGUAAGGUGAGAGGGAAAAAGAGAAGGAGCAUCCCUACUCCCAAAGUUCUUUAGAUAACUCUCCCUGAGGACCCACAGCGCGCGCAAGUUUCGCGGAGACCACAUAACAUAUCAGUCGGGGAAACAAAACAAAUUCCUGGCCCAGUCCAAGGCCCCAUGGCCCGUGGAGGGCGAGAAAAUGACAAACCAUAAAAAAUUAUUUAUAGUGCCGUGAGCAACAAAAAAAAAAAAAAAAAGUCUAAAAAGGUGUGGGGUGAUAUAACAAAAGGGGGAUUAAAGAAUUGGGAAAAUCGGCAAUCACCAAAAAUAAUUAUAGCAAAAUUUCUGUUUUGACAGCAAUUACGCCCCUAUAGUUUAUAGAAAAUCACCAAAUCACAAAAGAAAACACCCCACUAAUGAAUAGUACAACUAGCGAGUCUCUUACCAGUAAUAAAAAAAAAAUAUAAAUAAAUAUAAUCAAUCUUGAACACCGAUUGUUCAUUAUACCACUAUAUUUUAACUUCUUGAUGAUUCUUAUUAUACUAAAUCCCGCGUGCUCCAGUGCUC
rnacentral:rRNA from 1 species